GACGAACGCUGGCGGCGUGCUUAACACAUGCAAGUCGAACGGAAAGGCCCUUCGGGGUACUCGAGUGGCGAGCGGGUGAGUAACACGUGGGUGAUCUGCCCUGCACUUUGGGAUAAGCCUGGGAAACUGGGUCUAAUACCGGAUAGGACCACGGCAUUCAUGUGCUGUGGUGGAAAGCUUUUGCGGUGUGGGAUGGGCCCGCGGCCUAUCAGCUUGUUGGUGGGGUAAUGGCCUACCAAGGCGACGACGGGUAGCCGGCCUGAGAGGGUGACCGGCCACACUGGGACUGAGAUACGGCCCAGACUCCUACGGGAGGCAGCAGUGGGGAAUAUUGCACAAUGGGCGCAAGCCUGAUGCAGCGACGCCGCGUGAGGGAUGACGGCCUUCGGGUUGUAAACCUCUUUCGCCAGGGACGAAGCGCAAGUGACGGUACCUGGAGAAGAAGAACCGGCCAACUACGUG
rnacentral:rRNA from 1 species